AAGCGGUUGCGAACGCGUUUGUAUAAAGAUCCAGUGCAAUUGCACGCGCACUCGAUGACAUCAAAUGCCCGUGCAAUUGUACUGAACUUUAUACAAUCGCGUUCGCAACCGCUU
rnacentral:pre_miRNA from 1 species